rnacentral:rRNA from 1 species
GCAGAGCACUCCUACGGGAGGCAGCAGUGGGGAAUAUUGCACAAUGGGCGGAAGCCUGAUGCAGCGACGCCGCGUGAGGGAUGAAGGCCUUCGGGUUGUAAACCUCUUUCAGCAGGGACGAAGCGUGAGUGACGGUACCUGCAGAAGAAGCACCGGCUAACUACGUGCCAGCAGCCGCGGUAAUACGUAGGGUGCGAGCGUUGUCCGGAAUUACUGGGCGUAAAGAGUUCGUAGGCGGUUUGUCGCGUCGUUUGUGAAAACCCGGGGCUCAACUUCGGGCUUGCAGGCGAUACGGGCAGACUUGAGUGUUUCAGGGGAGACUGGAAUUCCUGGUGUAGCGGUGAAAUGCGCAGAUAUCAGGAGGAACACCGGUGGCGAAGGCGGGUCUCUGGGAAACAACUGACGCUGAGGAACGAAAGCGUGGGUAGCAAACAGGAUUAGAUACCCUGGUAG